rnacentral:rRNA from 1 species
GGGGGGGGGGGGGGGUGGGGGGCGGGGGGGGCGGGCGAAACGGGGGGCAGUGGAGGAUGUGGAGUCGGGGGGCGGAGUGGCGGCGGGGGGGGUAAGACCGGGGGGUCUGCGGUGUCGUGGGGGAUAGCGCAGGGACUCGUACGCUCAUACGGCCGCCGACCUACGUCGGUAGGCCGUGCAUCUGCCAACCCGUCAACACGUCCACUGCCGAUGUCGGUUUAGCUAGUUGGCGGGUUCAAGGCCUACCAGGGCGACGAUCCGUAGCUGGUCUGAGAGGAUGAUCAGCCACACUGGAACUGAGACACGGUCCAGACUCCUACGGGAGGCAGCAGUGGGGAAUAUUGGACAAUGGGCGCAAGCCUGAUCCAGCCAUACCGCGUGGGUGAAGAAGGCCUUCGGGUUGUAAAGCCCUUUUGUUGGGAAAGAAAAGCAGCAGGUUAAUACCCCGCUGUUCUGACGGUACCCAAAGAAUAAGCACCGGCUAACUUCGU